rnacentral:rRNA from 1 species
AGUGAACGCUGGCGGUAGGCCUAACACAUGCAAGUCGAACGGCAGCACAGUAAGAGCUUGCACUUACGGGUGGCGAGUGGCGGACGGGUGAGGAAUACAUCGGAAUCUACUUUUUCGUGGGGGAUAACGUAGGGAAACUUACGCUAAUACCGCAUACGACCUACGGGUGAAAGCAGGGGAUCUUCGGACCUUGCGCGAUUGAAUGAGCCGAUGUCGGAUUAGCUAGUUGGCGGGGUAAAGGCCCACCAAGGCGACGAUCCGUAGCUGGUCUGAGAGGAUGAUCAGCCACACUGGAACUGAGACACGGUCCAGACUCCUACGGGAGGCAGCAGUGGGGAAUAUUGGACAAUGGGCGCAAGCCUGAUCCAGCCAUACCGCGUGAGUGAAGAAGGCCUUCGGGUUGUAAAGCCCUUUUGUUGGGAAAGAAAAGCAGCAGAUGUAUACCCCGCUGUUCUGACGGUACCCAAAGAGUAAGCACCGGCUAACUUCGUG